GGCAGUGGUGGUUUGACGGUUAAGGCUUUGGGCUCCUGAUCAGAAGGUCGGGGGUCAAGCCCCAGCACUGCCA